CGGAGGAUCCAAGCGUUAUCCGGAAUCAUUGGGUUUAAAGGGUCCGUAGGCGGUCUAGUAAGUCAGUGGUGAAAGCCCAUCGCUCAACGGUGGAACGGCCAUUGAUACUGCUGGACUUGAAUUAUUAGGAAGUAACUAGAAUAUGUAGUGUAGCGGUGAAAUGCUUAGAGAUUACAUGGAAUACCAAUUGCGAAGGCAGGUUACUACUAAUGGAUUGACGCUGAUGGACGAAAGCGUGGGUAGCGAACAGGAUUAGAUACCCUGGUAGUCCACGCCGUAAACGAUGGAUACUAGCUGUUGGAAGCAAUUUCAGUGGCUAAGCGAAAGUGAUAAGUAUCCCACCUGGGGAGUACGUUCGCAAGAAUG
rnacentral:rRNA from 1 species